rnacentral:rRNA from 1 species
GACGAACGCUGGCGGCGUGCUUAACACAUGCGAGUCGAACGGAAAGGCCCUGCUUUUGUGGGGUGCUCGAGUGGCGCACGGGUGAGUAACACGUGAGUAACUUCCCCUUGACUUUGGGAUAACUUUAGGAAACUCGGGCUAAUACCGGAUAGGAGCUCCUGCUGCGUGGUGGGGGUUGGAAAGUUUCGGCGGUAUGGGAUGGACUCGCGGCUUAUCAGCUUGUUGGUGGGGUAGUGGCUUACCAAGUCUUUGACGGGUAGCCGGCCUUAGAGGGUGACCGGCCACCAUAGUACUAAGAGACGCCGCAGACGCCUACGUUCGGCAGCGGGCGGAAACAUGACACAAUGACGGCGAGCCAGAUACGACAGUGCCGCGUGCGGAAAAACGUGUUUUGAGUGAUGAACCACUGUGUACUGUAACAUGGCCUGAUUGACGGUAAUGAAUAAAGAAGCACCGGCUAACUACGUG